rnacentral:rRNA from 1 species
UGUGAGCUCGAUGAGUAGGGCGGGACACGUGGUAUCCUGUCUGAAUAUGGGGGGACCAUCCUCCAAGGCUAAAUACUCCUGACUGACCGAUAGUGAACCAGUACCGUGAGGGAAAGGCGAAAAGAACCCCGGCGAGGGGAGUGAAAAAGAACCUGAAACCGUGUACGUACAAGCAGUGGGAGCACGCUUAGGCGUGUGACUGCGUACCUUUUGUAUAAUGGGUCAGCGACUUAUAUUCUGUAGCAAGGUUAACCGAAUAGGGGAGCCGAAGGGAAACCGAGUCUUAACUGGGCGUUAAGUUGCAGGGUAUAGACCCGAAACCCGGUGAUCUAGCCAUGGGCAGGUUGAAGGUUGGGUAACACUAACUGGAGGACCGAACCGACUAAUGUUGAAAAAUUAGCGGAUGACUUGUGGCUGGGGGUGAAAGGCCAAUCAAACCGGGAGAUAGCUGGUUCUCCCCGAAAGCUAUUUAGGUAGCGCCUCGUGAAUUCAUCUCCGGGGGUAGAGCACUGUUUCGGCAAGGGGGUCAUCCCGACUUACCAACCCGAUGCAAACUGCGAAUACCGGAGAAUGUUAUCACGGGAGACACACGGCGGGUGCUAACGUCCGUCGUGAAGAGGGAAACAACCCAGACCGCCAGCUAAGGUCCCAAAGUCAUGGUUAAGUGGGAAACGAUGUGGGAAGGCCCAGACAGCCAGGAUGUUGGCUUAGAAGCAGCCAUCAUUUAAAGAAAGCGUAAUAGCUCACUGGUCGAGUCGGCCUGCGCGGAAGAUGUAACGGGGCUAAACCAUGCACCGAAGCUGCGGCAGCGACGCUUAUGCGUUGUUGGGUAGGGGAGCGUUCUGUAAGCCUGUGAAGGUGUGCUGUGAGGCAUGCUGGAGGUAUCAGAAGUGCGAAUGCUGACAUAAGUAACGAUAAAGCGGGUGAAAAGCCCGCUCGCCGGAAGACCAAGGGUUCCUGUCCAACGUUAAUCGGGGCAGGGUGAGUCGACCCCUAAGGCGAGGCCGAAAGGCGUAGUCGAUGGGAAACAGGUUAAUAUUCCUGUACUUGGUGUUACUGCGAAGGGGGGACGGAGAAGGCUAUGUUGGCCGGGCGACGGUUGUCCCGGUUUAAGCGUGUAGGCUGGUUUUCCAGGCAAAUCCGGAAAAUCAAGGCUGAGGCGUGAUGACGAGGCACUACGGUGCUGAAGCAACAAAUGCCCUGCUUCCAGGAAAAGCCUCUAAGCAUCAGGUAACAUCAAAUCGUACCCCAAACCGACACAGGUGGUCAGGUAGAGAAUACCAAGGCGCUUGAGAGAACUCGGGUGAAGGAACUAGGCAAAAUGGUGCCGUAACUUCGGGAGAAGGCACGCUGAUACGUAGGUGAAGUCCCUCGCGGAUGGAGCUGAAAUCAGUCGAAGAUACCAGCUGGCUGCAACUGUUUAUUAAAAACACAGCACUGUGCAAACACGAAAGUGGACGUAUACGGUGUGACGCCUGCCCGGUGCCGGAAGGUUAAUUGAUGGGGU